rnacentral:rRNA from 1 species
UUGAAUUGAAGAGUUUGAUCAUGGCUCAGAUUGAACGCUGGCGGCAGGCUUAACACAUGCAAGUCGAACGGUAACAUAAAGAAGCUUGCUUCUUUGAUGACGAGUGGCGGACGGGUGAGUAAUGCUUGGG